rnacentral:tRNA from 6 species
GCGGGAAUAGCUCAGUUGGUAGAGCAUCUGCUUCCCAAGCAGAGGGUCGCGGGUUCGAGUCCCGUUUCCCGCUCCA